rnacentral:misc_RNA from 1 species
GACAUAUGGGGCGAGCGUUACUCGGAAUCACUAGGCGUAAAGCGCGUGUAGGCGGAUGCUCAAGUCUGCCGUGAAAUCUCCCGGCUCAACUGGGAGGGGUCGGUGGAUACUGAGUGUCUGGAGUCAGGUAGGGGGAACCGGAAUUCCUGGUGUAGCGGUGAAAUGCGUAGAUAUCAGGAGGAACACCCAUGGCGAAGGCAGGUUCCUGGGCCUUGACUGACGCUGAGACGCGAAAGCUGGGGUAGCAAACAGG